rnacentral:rRNA from 1 species
UUACCGGCUUGACAUGAACGAAAGUCCUUUGGGCACAGGUGGUGCACGGUUGUCGUCAGCUCGUGUCGUGAGAUGUUGGGUUAAGUCCCGCAACGAGCGCAACCCCGUCUAUGUUGUUACAGUAUGAACCUCAUGGAGACUGCCGGUGACAACCGGAGGAAGGUGUGGAUGACGUCAAAUCAUCAUGCCCCUUAUGCCGGGCUACACACGUGUUACAAUGGCGUACACAAGGCUCAGUGAUGUUGGCAAUCUAAAACCCCCUCAGUUCGGAUCGUACUCUGCAACUCGAGUACGUGAAGUUGGAAUCGCUAGUAAACGCAAUCAGCACGUGCGUUGAAUACGUUCCCGGGUCUUGUACACACCGCCCGUCACACCACGAAAGAAGGUAGCCGAA